rnacentral:tRNA from 1 species
CGGGGUGUAGCGCAGCCUGGUAGCGCACCUGCUUUGGGAGCAGGUGGUCGUCCGUUCGAAUCGGACCACCCCGACCA